UAAAAUUAGAUUAUUCUGGUGCUGCCGUCAUUAAGGUAUUAGCAUAAUUUGCGCGCAUGGUCGGUUUAUCACUCGCCGAUUAAAGCACGUUGUUCUGAGCAAGAGUGAGGGCGGUUUCAACUUAAAGAUUACAAUUACACUUACGAAUCAAACCCCAAAUGUCCCAGCCGAGGGAUCCUACGAAUAAUUUCGUUGAGUUGGUUCAAGUAUGGGGAGGUUUCCUCAACGAAUAUCUGGAAGGAGUCGUAAUGUACGAUUCGAGAAACGGGAGGUUUACGGCUCAAGUAGGGUACAUUAUUGAAGAAGGAACACUGAAUGGCAACGAGGCUUUUAAAAUCAUCUCGACUAGACGAGAAAUAAAAACGAUUGAACGACAAUCAGAUGGAGGCAGCAAGGUCACCGCGUCAAGAACUAAAUUCCCAGCUAGUUAAAACCAAGCUUAGUGACGACUUAUGCAAGAAUCAGCGAUUACAGAUGCCUCAUAACAAAAUGAAUAGUAGUUAUAUGUAAAAACAUUGCUGAUCUAGAUAAUAAACUGAAACUGUUAAAUUCAAAUGUAGACCAUUUGCCUAUACUUCGCGCGAACACAGUUAAACUUUUACAAUACUUGCACUGUGGUAGAAACGAGUAGGAACUGAAAAUAUAAUCAAACUACCCGACGAAUAGUAAAUCAGAAAUGCGCUCCCAACACGAGCAUUAUACAGAAGAGUGAAAACAUCUCGUUUAAUUAAAUGCCAUGUCAUGUCUCGAAAUGCUAAGAGCCGCACGCGCGCGAUACCGGAGAUCCAAAUUUGUUCUCUCCCUACCUUCACUCCUCCCCUUCCUAAGCGACUGAUUAAUUAGCAUUCUUUGUUGUUGAGUCAGAUACCUUACGCUAGGAACAAGCCUCAUGGAAUUAAGUUUUUAUAACAAGCCAUUUUGCUCUUCAAUGUUGGGAGAUCUGUACUAAAACACAUUUUGCUAUUUACUUGAAAGAGUACAUUCUGUAAACCUAUCAAACCAUAGAGCCGCCUUAAAACUGUCUAAACGAAAAUUUUGAUUCUAAACUGCGACUGAUUUCACAAUGAAAUAAACGAAGCGCACACAUCACGCAACAUUGAGAUCUGUCCACAAAGACUGGCUAAAAAAGAUUCCAGAGUAAAACGAGGCGCUUACGAAAAUUUUUGUCGUUUUAUCCUGCUACACACAGCCAAAACUAAUAAUUUUUAACAAUCGAGUUAGCCAUUCUAUUUGUCAUCGAAACUGAUUGUAAAGGUACAUCACAGAAAUGCUACGAAAUGUUAACUGAACGAAACGAGGCAGUCUAAAUUCGGACAAAAACUAUCAUGAGAACUUAACACUUAAAUCAGAAGAGAGAGUGAAUCAGAAUUUCACGAUCUACGUACUACCUUCCGUCUCAAUUACAACAACAGGCCUAGUCGAAAACAAUUAGAUGGAACAAGACCGAGCUUAGAGCGCAGAUUAUUAAGCCUUAUAUCAUUUUAGAAACAAAUAAGAGGGAACGUACCUUCAAUUGCGUUCAUCUCCUCCAAAGCUCUUCUCUACUCAAACUGUAUGUCCCAAACACAAUAUUUACGAACAUUAAAAUCUCUCUAAAACAUUUUUUUCCUACUGCGCAAUAAACAUCGCAGAACGACUGGAACUUUCCUUGCCUCUUAAAUAGCCACAGAAAAUUUAAAGUGUGACGUUUAUACUUUUAUGAGAAGCUAUUGGUCGCGUACUUUUAUUUUGUUGGGACGCGCAUUCCCCAAAGCACCUAGGGCGAAACGUCUUUGGAGGAGGACAGGCCAUAAUUUGACAGCUUGUCAAUCAACGUCGUCAUUCACGAGCAAUGAC
rnacentral:lncRNA from 1 species